rnacentral:rRNA from 1 species
GUGAUAAGCCGAGAGGAAGGUGGGGAUGACGUCAAGUCCUCAUGGCCCUUGCGGGCUGGGCUACACACGUGCUACAAUGGUGGUGACAGUGGGCAGCGAGACCGCGAGGUCGAGCUAAUCUCCAAAAGCCAUCUCAGUUCGGAUUGCACUCUGCAACUCGAGUGCAUGAAGUUGGAAUCGCUAGUAAUCGCAGAUCAGCCUCUUUCGAGAUACGUUCCCGGGCCUUGUACACACCGCCCGUCACACCAUGGGAGUUGGUU